CACGUAGGGUGCGAGCGUUGUCCGGAAUUAUUGGGCGUAAAGAGCUCGUAGGCGGUGUGUCGCGUCGGCCGUGAAAACCUGCAGCUUAACUGUGGGCUUGCGGUCGAUACGGGCAUCACUGGAGUUCGGCAGGGGAGACUGGAAUUCCUGGUGUAGCGGUGAAAUGCGCAGAUAUCAGGAGGAACACCGGCGGCGAAGGCGGCACUCUGGGCCGGUACUGACGCUGAGGAGCGAAAGCGUGGGUAGCAAACAGG
rnacentral:rRNA from 1 species